CAGCAGCCGCGGUAACACGAAGGGUGCAAGCGUUAAUCGGAAUUACUGGGCGUAAAGCGUGCGUAGGCGGUUUGUUAAGUCUGUUGUGAAAUCCCCGGGCUCAACCUGGGAAUGGCAAUGGAUACUGGCAAGCUAGAGUGUGUCAGAGGAUGGUGGAAUUCCCGGUGUAGCGGUGAAAUGCGUAGAGAUCGGGAGGAACAUCAGUGGCGAAGGCGGCCAUCUGGGACAACACUGACGCUGAGGCACGAAAGCGUGGGGAGCAAACAGGAUUAGAUACCCCUGUAGUCCCUGUCUCUUAUAC
rnacentral:rRNA from 1 species